rnacentral:rRNA from 1 species
AUUUCCUUCGGGAUUGAUUAUUUUGUGACUGAGUGGCGGACGGGUGAGUAACGCGUGGGUAACCUGCCCUGUACAGGGGGAUAACAGUCAGAAAUGACUGCUAAUACCGCAUAAGACCACAGCACCGCAUGGUGCAGGGGUAAAAACUCCGGUGGUACAGGAUGGACCCGCGUCUGAUUAGCUGGUUGGUGAGGUAACGGCUCACCAAGGCGACGAUCAGUAGCCGGCUUGAGAGAGUGAACGGCCACAUUGGGACUGAGACACGGCCCAAACUCC